CUUGAGCGAUGCCAGGUCAGCAAGAUUCACAGCCGCAGGUUCCAUUGCCAUAUGGUUUGUGUGUCUGAAGUGCGGGGGGAAAACGUAAAAGACACUCGAUGAUGACUCAUUUACUUACCACUUUUGAUGAGCAGCACCUAGUCGAGGCCGAGACGAUAAGCAAAAUCAGACGAUUGGUGAUGAUAAUAUACGCGAAUGACGGAUCGG